AGUGAACGCUGGCGGUAGGCCUAACACAUGCAAGUCGAACGGCAGCACAGUAAGAGCUUGCUCUUACGGGUGGCGAGUGGCGGACGGGUGAGGAAUACAUCGGAAUCUUCUUUUUCGUGGGGGAUAACGUAGGGAAACUUACGCUAAUACCGCAUACGACCUACGGGUGAAAGCAGGGGAUCUUCGGACCUUGCGCGAUUGAAUGAGCCGAUGUCGGAUUAGCUAGUUGGCGGGGUAAAGGCCCACCAAGGCGACGAUCCGUAGCUGGUCUGAGAGGAUGAUCAGCCACACUGGAACUGAGACACGGUCCAGACUCCUACGGGAGGCAGCAGUGGGGAAUAUUGGACAAUGGGCGCAAGCCUAAUCCAGCCAUACCGCGUGGGUGAAGAAGGCCUUCGGGUUGUAAAGCCCUUUUGUUGGGAGAGAAAAGCAGCAGGUUAAUACCCCGCUGUUCUGACGGUACCCAAAGAAUAAGCACCGGCUAACUUCGUG
rnacentral:rRNA from 1 species